rnacentral:rRNA from 1 species
UACAGAGGGUGCGAGCGUUAAUCGGAAUUACUGGGCGUAAAGGGCGCGUAGGCGGUUAUUUAAGUUGGAUGUGAAAUCCCUGGGCUUAACCUAGGAACUGCAUACAAGACUGAAUGACUGGAGUGCUGUAGAGGAUAGUGGAAUUUCCGGUGUAGCGGUGAAAUGCGUAGAUAUCGGAAGGAACACCAGUGGCGAAGGCGGCUAUCUGGACAGACACUGACGCUGAGGUGCGAAAGCGUGGGGAGCAAACAGG